GACGAACGCUGGCGGCGUGCUUAACACAUGCAAGUCGAACGGAAAGGCCCUGCUUGCCGGGUACUCGAGUGGCGAACGGGUGAGUAACACGUGGGUGAUCUGCCCUGCACUUCGGGAUAAGCCUGGGAAACUGGGUCUAAUACCGGAUAGGAGCCAUUUUUAGUGUGAUGGUUGGAAAGUUUUUUCGGUGUAGGAUGAGCUCGCGGCCUAUCAGCUUGUUGGUGGGGUAAUGGCCUACCAAGGCGGCGACGGGUAGCCGGGCUGAGAGGGUGGACGGCCACAUUGGGACUGAGGGACGGCCCAGACUCCGACGGGAGGCAGCAGGGGGGAAGAUUGCACAAUGGGCGCAAGCCGGAUGCAGCGACGCCGCGGGGGGGAGGACGGCCUUCGGGUUGUAAACUCCUUUCGCUAGGGACGAAGCUUUUUGUGACGGUACCUAGAUAAGAAGCACCGGCUAACUACGUG
rnacentral:rRNA from 1 species